UUUACAAAUAGCUACAUUGUACUAAGAAUUGCCUUGGCUUGAGAUUUGACAAAAGAAGAAACUCUAGAAGUAACUUUUUUCAGAAUCACUGUAGAAUAGUGAGCUGAAUGUAGAACCAUGACUCUACUGUACCUUUAUUGUCCCCUUUCUAGUGCCUACCUACCACAAACUAAAUGUUUAAAACUUGGCUUGAAUUGAUGUCCUAGAAGAUGUGAAUUUCUAGUGGGUAUUAACUAUAUCUGCUGCUGAGAUGAAGGGAAAGGCAAGUUCUCUGCAACAAAGUACAGGGCCAGAUGAAGGGAGAGUGAAGAUCAUUUGUCAUAAUGUCACCCUAUAAAUAUUUUGAAGAGAUUCUAUUGCUAUAAACCAUAAACACAUCCCUGUUGGGAAAGACAGGAGCAGUGUUUUCUGAUUAUAAGGAGUGUUUGUUGGAGCUACAGGCGUGUGGAAGCAAUUUCAGGAACAUCGUUGCGAGGAGUCUCUGGCAGAGAGAAUUCAAACAACUGCCAUAGGAAAUGGGGUACAGCCUUCACAGGACAUAUAUGCUAAAAUACAGAGUGGAAUGUUGUCCUGAUGUUGGAUGGGAUUCUCAGGGGGGUGAUUGGGCCAAGGAAGGUGGAGUAGCUUACCCAUGUUUCCAUGGUGAGCCUGAGGUAGCGCCAGAAUGAGGACCCACUUCCCAUUGACCUCUGUCUACUUCAGGAGGCAGGUGUGUUUAAAUAGAACGCUGGGUUUCUGAAGUUGCGUAAGAAAACAGUUGAAUCUGAAGAAAGGCAGGCCUAAAACAAGGCAAUGCGGGGAACUGGGAAGCAGGGCAAUUGUGGGAAUGGGAGACCCAAUCUUGCUUGGAAUCUGUAUGUCGCCAGCGAAUGUCUUUCAUCCCCAUUAUUAGUUAGCUGGUUAAUUAGCUGGUAUUGGUCUACAGCUGGUUAAUGGCCUUACAUAGAAUAUAAUUUUCAUCACUGGGCUCUCUGAAGGGUAUAUUUUUGGCUUGCCAUUCUCUGUAGUCUGACUUUUCAACCCAAUGUUCCAGUGGAAAUUUUCCAGAGCAUUGAAAUUUCAAAAUGCAAGAGCAAGAGGAAGAAUAGAAAUCACAGCCUUAAAACAAAUGAGACAGGAGCUACUAGUGCAUUCUAGUCCCCAUCCCAGCAUCCCAUUCUCCACCCCCUCAGAAAUACAUCAGCAUAUCUGGCAGAGCUGUGUUUCACAAAACAAGAUGCACAGCUUGAUGAAAGAGGGAUGCUGAUGGAGGCAGUGAGAGGAGGCAGAGGUGGGGUGGAGAGCGAAGAGGGAGAAGGAGUGGUCUGGACGCUAGCUGAAGAAGCUUUAAUGAUCCUAAAAAGUAUUGGGCAAUAAUUGCUACCUUGGAACUCACUUUGCUGUUGCAAAGAAUGAUAAAGCACCUUAAUUAUUGCUUUAAAUAACCACACAGCUCCAUCAAAACAGCAUGAAAUAGCACCCACGUAUGAGCAAACUUAUCUACUGCCAUUGCUGUUUACAGCCUGAGAAAUCCUUAAGGGAGCAACAGGGUAAUAACUUGGUAGAGACAUCAUCUAGUCUGGGCCCUCAAGAUUCUAGGUUACUCAGGCCUGGGAGAGGUGCUGGCACGUUGCCCUUGUUCUCCUUGACAUUCUGAGAUCUUUAACUGGGACAGCCAGAAAGAAGUCAUUGCUUUCAUUCUCUUAACCAUUGGGCUGGGGUAGGGAGGGCAGUGUU